UACAAGCUUUUAUCGCUGACUGUACUUUUCUUUCCACAGGCAACUAAUACUCAUCGAGACAAUUCUUAAAACCCCAACAUACAAUUAGGUUGCGUUGUUUUAUCACAGAGUUCCUAUGGCCACCUCCUGUCUCCAUCAUCAGAUCAGCUCGAUGGUACCAUAAUAUUGCAUUGUCACCCGACUUACACACGUAUGCAAAUUUUUAGCUUCAUCGGAAACCGGGAAGUGGGUCAAAUUUAACUUGCAAGAUUUGACCCGUA